CACGUAGGGUGCGAGCGUUGUCCGGAAUUAUUGGGCGUAAAGAGCUCGUAGGCGGUGUGUCGCGUCGGCCGUGAAAACCUGCAGCUUAACUGUGGGCUUGCGGUCGAUACGGGCAUCACUGGAGUUCGGCAGGGGAGACUGGAAUUCCUGGUGUAGCGGUGAAAUGCGUAGAUAUCGAGAGGGAACACCUGCGGCGAAGGCGGGUUGCUGGGCUGACACUGACGCUGGAGGCGCGAAAGCUAGGGGAGCGAACGGG
rnacentral:rRNA from 1 species